UUUAUUCAAGUAGACUUUGUUGCUUGUGGAAACCUCACACAAGCCUGAAAGGUGCUUUAAACUUAAAAUCUUAUUUGCACUCUUGAAAACUGUUCACCAAAGACUAAAUUUCAGUCCAGCAGAAUUUUCUGCACACUUCACACACCAAGAUCAAAAUGAGCAUUGUGAAUGUAAAAGCUUCACAUUACAUUUAUAACCACCAUUGUUAAUGUUUGAAUUAUAUUGAAUUAUAUUAUGCCUUGAUAGUGGACAAUACCGGAUUUUUUGACCAAACAUAUUUAGGGUUCAGAUCGCGCUAUACGUGGAGAAUAAUGCACUUUUUUUUUUUUUUUAAAUGGCAUUUAUCAGUUUUUGCAAAUGAACUUUUCACACUUGCCAUACUCCAACAAGGUGAACGCACUGACCAAACAAAACGAAACGCCAUGAAAAGGCAACUGCUGGACACCUGGGACAGGCCAUCAAUUCCAAGUUGGCGUCAAUUCCCUGUUAGAGUUUAGAGUUGUCUAAUAGAGAGGGUGAAGGAAGAACAUCCAAACCCUGCCCCUGCUUCCUUCAAGAUUUUUUAUGGAUUUAUAUAAUGGUGUUUUUUCAUAAAGUAAAGGCAGUGGCAAAAUUAACAUGACACUACUUUGAUGUUUUGUUCUACAAAUUAAACCACACACACACUCCAAAAACACCAAUUUUGAUACAAUUUGCAUUUGCAAGAAAAAAAAUCAAAGUAGUGUCAUGUUAAUUUUGCCACUGCCUUUACUUUACGAAAAAACAUCAUUUAUAAAUCCAUAAAAUCUUGAAGAAAUCAGGGGCAGGGUUUGGAUGUUCUUCUUUCACCCUCUCUAUUAGACAACUCUAAUUUUUUUUUUGUUUUUUUUUUUAACACAGACUUUAAUUAAUUAAAAAAAAAAAAACUUCUCUUCAAGAAUUACUUUUCAGGUUUUAGCAUCAUCCUUUAGUAUUCAUAAUAGCAAUUUCAGUAAAGUUGCUGAUUUGAUUUAUGUUUUAAUUGUGCAGUUUAUGUGCACUCUGUUCUUUUGUCAAUGUCAAUAAAAUUCUUAUUUUUCUAUAGUAGGUGUUAUGUCAUCUGAAUAUACUGCUCAUUUUUGCAAGUGAAUUUAUACUGUCACAGUUUUUAAGUUGCAUUGUCUGGGGAUUUGUAAAUUUUUCAGUCUCCAAUUUCUGUUCAGUAUUUGAAUGUUUAAAUUCAUAUAUAUAUAUAUUUACAUGUACUGAAAUGUAAUAUGUUAACAAAUAUUAGAA
ensembl:lncRNA